GGUAGUAGCAAAUAUUCGAAUGAGAUCUUGGAUGACUGAAGUGGAGGAGGGUUUCGUGUCAACAGCAGUUGAACACGAGUUAGCCAAUCCUAAGCUCUAUGGGAAACCUGAUAUAUAUUAAGCAUUUAACCGAAUACAACGCUCGCCGUCAGUUGAUGCAACCGUCCUGAUAUAUAUUGAAUGAGCGAAAGGGAAUCCGGUUACAAUUCCGGAGCCUGUUGAGUAUACGUUUGCAUUGGCGUCCCAUACCGGCAACGGUAGCGCCUUUGUAAUCAUGGCAACAUGAAUCCUUUUUCUUCGAGAAGCCAACAAGAGAUAUCGGAAGAGUUCUCUUUUCUGUUUUACAGUCACACUAGCCAUGGAAGUCUUUCAUAGAGAGAUAUGGUUGGACAGGCUGGUAGAGCAUGGUAUUAAAUUGCUGUGUCGAUAUUCUCUUCUUGGACCUUGAAAAUCGAAGACUGGGGCACGCAAACUCUCAACAGCUUGUACCGAAUCCGCAGCAGGUCUCCAAGGUUUAGAGUCUCUAGUC
rnacentral:rRNA from 1 species